rfam:Homo sapiens chromosome 15, GRCh38 reference primary assembly.
GCCGGGUGUGGUGGCGCAUGCCUGUAAUCCCAGCUACUCAGGAGGCUGAGGCAGGAGAAUUGCUUGAACCCAGGAGGCCGAGGUUGCAGUGAGCCAAGAUUGAGUCACUGCACUCCAGCCUGGGUGACAGAGCGAGGCUUCGUCUCAA